rnacentral:rRNA from 3 species
AAAAUUAGAGUGUUCAAAGCAGGCAGAUCCAAUUUUCUGCCACCGAAUACAUUAGCAUGGGAUAAUGGAAUAGGACCCUGUCCUCCUAUUUUCAGUUGGUUUUGGCAGCGCGAGGACUAGGGUAAUGAUUAAUAGGGAUAGUUGGGGGCAUUAAUAUUUAAUUGUCAGAGGUGAAAUUCUUGGAUUUAUGAAAGAUUAACUUCUGCGAAAGCAUCUGCCAAGGAUGUUUUCAUUAAUCAAGAACGAAAGUUAGGGGAUCGAAGACGAUCAGAUACCGUCGUAGUCUUAACCAUAAACGAUGCCGACCAGCGAUUAGGAGACGUUGAAUACAAAACACCACCAUCGGUGCGGUCGUCCUUGGCGUCGGUUUCGGCCGGCGCGGGGGUGGCUUAGCCCGGUGGCACCGGUGAA